GUAGGUGGCAAGCGUUGUCCGGAAUUAUUGGGCGUAAAGCGCGCGCAGGCGGUUCUUUAAGUCUGAUGUGAAAGCCCACGGCUCAACCGUGGAGGGUCAUUGGAAACUGGAGAACUUGAGUACAGAAGAGGAAAGCGGAAUUCCACGUGUAGCGGUGAAAUGCGUAGAGAUGUGGAGGAACACCAGUGGCGAAGGCGGCUUUCUGGUCUGUAACUGACGCUGAGGCGCGAAAGCGUGGGGGAGCAAACAGGAUUAGAUACCCUGGUAGUCCACGCCGUAAACGAUGAGUGCUAAGUGUUAGGGGGUUUCCGCCCCUCAGUGCUGCAGCUAACGCAUUAAGCACUCCGCCUGGGGAGUACGGCCGCAAGGCUG
rnacentral:rRNA from 1 species